rnacentral:rRNA from 1 species
UUGGCUUAAGCGCGUGUAGGCGGUUGAGCAAGUCAGAUGUGAAAUCCUGAAGCUCAACUUCAGAAGUGCAUCUGAAACUACUCAACUCGAGUACGGGAGAGGAGAGUGGAAUUCCCCGGUGUAGAGGUGAAAUUCGUAGAUAUCGGGAGGAACACCGGUGGCGAAGGCGGCUCUCUGGGACCCGAUACUGACGCUGAGGCGCGAAAGCGUGGGGAGCAAAACAGGGAUUUAGAUACCCCGCGUA